UUUCCUGCUCGAAAAGUCCCCGGUCCGAUCCGGCACGAGGUGGCAGCAGCUGCUGCAGGGCAUCUGCACGUUGAUCCAGAGUGGAUUAACGAGGAAUAAUUCGGGAGUCACGUUCAGCUUUUUUCCACCCUGAAAAUAAAAAAAAACGAGGUCAAAUAUCUUCAUGAGCUCUUUAGAGGCGUGCUUCGGUCAGUUCUCGGUGGCCAUGAUGCUGAAACAAACUGAUCGGAGUCAGCCGUGGGCCGUGGCCCGUGCCACGUGCAGUCGCAGCAGAGAUGAGGUGGUCCUGUGCUCUGCACUGCACGACGUAUAUUUUUUUUCCACAUAUAUAUAUCGGGAGUUCUGGAUAUGUUAUCUUUCUGUUCCUAUACUAGUAUAAUGGUACAGUGUUUUCGUGCAUCUGGAGGGACGGAACUCGACAAGUUGGCCUGUAGUGGUCGUCGUCCCUCCCCACACGCCGUUGGCCCAGAACUGAACACGAUAUUACAUUGCAGCCAGAAAGCGAGCGGCAGCUCCGUCGGUGGUGGGUUUGAUCGGAUCGAGCUGCCACUGCCACUAGCGGCAGCGCGGCUGACGAUAUGAUG
rnacentral:lncRNA from 1 species